UCAGGCCUAACACAUGCAAGUCGAACGGUAACAGGAAGAAGCUUGCUUCUUUGCUGACGAGUGGCGGACGGGUGAGUAAUGUCUGGGAAACCGCCUGAUGGAGGGGGAUAACUACUGGAAACGGUAGCUAAUACCGCAUAACGUCGCAAGACCAAAGAGGGGGACCUUCGGGCCUCUUGCCAUCGGAUGUGCCCAGAUGGGAUUAGCUAGUAGGUGGGGUAACGGCUCACCUAGGCGACGAUCCCUAGCUGGUCUGAGAGGAUGACCAGCCACACUGGAACUGAGACACGGUCCAGACUCCUACGGGAGGCAGCAGUGGGGAAUAUUGCACAAUGGGCGCAAGCCUGAUGCAGCCAUGCCGCGUGUAUGAAGAAGGCCUUCGGGUUGUAAAGUACUUUCAGCGGGGAGGAAGGGAGUAAAGUUAAUACCUUUGCUCAUUGACGUUACCCGCAGAAGAAGCACCGGCUAACUCCGUGCCAGCAGCCGCGGUAAUACGGAGGGUGCAAGCGUUAAUCGGAAUUACUGGGCGUAAAGCGCACGCAGGCGGUUUGUUAAGUCAGAUGUGAAAUCCCCGGGCUCAACCUGGGAACUGCAUCUGAUACUGGCAAGCUUGAGUCUCGUAGAGGGGGGUAGAAUUCCAGGUGUAGCGG
rnacentral:rRNA from 1 species